GGAGGGGUAUGAGGGGGGAGAGCCACACCGUGGGAGGGGUAUGAGGGGGGGAGAGCCACAAUGUCGGAGGGGUACGAGGCGGGGAGAGCCACACUGUGGGAGGGGUAUGAGGGGGGGAGAGCCACACUGAGGGAAGGGUAUGAGGGAGGGCCACACUGAGGGAGGAGUAUGAGGAGGGAGAGCCACACUGAGGGAGGGGUAUGAGGGAGGGCCACACUGAGGGAGGGGUACGAGGGGGGAGAGCCACACUGCGGGAAGGGUAUGAAGGGAGAGAGCCAGACUGAGGGAGGGGUAUGAGGGGGGAGAGCCAGACUGAGGGAGGGGUACAAGGGGGGGGGGGAGAGCCAGACUGUGGGAGGUGCAGUGAGGAGAAAACAUCACUUAGGUGGUCAAUUUACAUUCUACAAUGCCCUCCGUCCUCGCCACCCCUCAGCACCUCCCUCCUCACUGCCCCUCCACGCCGCACCUCCCCCAGCAUGGUGCUCCCUCACUCUAACGCUGGGGGUGGGGGAAGCAAGCCUGGGUAGUACUCUCAGUCUCAGUACUCAGGGGCCAGGAGCCCACUCACCCAUCCUGCUCCCCCCCUCCCCACAACCCCCGAGGCAGAGACGAGGGACACAACGCCACUCUCGAUAACCUGCCACACAGGAACUCGGAGUCGGGUUUCCGCCUGAAAUUCUUAGAACCUUUGCAUUUCAAAACGGUGCUGAGAUAAACUGCAAACACCCACAUCCCUUUACUGAAUUUGAUCUAGAUUGCUGCAGAGAAGUGAGACAACAAGCAGAAGGGUGCAAAUAGGAAGUUCUCUCUCUCUCUAAAACUGGCUCUGCUCCCUCUCUGCGUUGUUGAUGUAAAUUUCCAGACACUCCCUCAGUGGAAUGAACAACAGCUCGCUCCCUGUUCCGCCUGAGUCCCUUGCCUGUCUCUGAAACACUCAAUGCACGUACAACACGACAGCCGGCCAAACCGUUCACCGCAUCUCUUAGUUCACCAAAUUUCGCCAAGAUCCUCCAAAGCAUCCAGUUAAAAAAAAUCCAUAUCGGCUUUGCUUCCACGAAGUGAAGUUUGCUGUUUUGCGACAGCGAGGUACUGCAUUCACAUUAGGACACAGAAAUAAAAUAGAAUCAGUGAAAAACUACGCACAAAGACUGACAAAACCCCCGUGCAAAGACGAACCGUGCAAAUACGAAAAACAGGAAGUAAAUAAUAGAUGGAGCAGGUCCUUCUGGCCUUGGAAUCGUGCCACCCAGAAACCCUGGAUUUAUGGGACUAUUUCUGGUGACCAAUGACUAACUGGAAUAUCUUUGGAAUGUGGGAGAAAACCCUCGCGGUCACUGGGAGAACACACUCCUUACAGGCGGAGGCGGGAAGCGAACCUAUGUCACCGCCACUGUGAAGUGUCGUGCCAGUCGCAACGCCACCAGUCUUCUGCCCGAUGGGAGGCGGGCGGGGUCUUUGAUGAUGCUGGCCUCUUUACUGAGGCAACAAGAAGGAAGUCCGUGGAAGGGAGGCUGGUUUCCGUGAUCUGCUGAACUCUGCCCAGUUUCUCAAGGUCAAGGGCAGAGUCCGUGCUGAACUGAGUCAUGAAGCGUCCGCAUAGAGUGCUCGGCCACUCAGGAACAGCUUCUCCCCUCUGCCACCCCGGUUUCUGAAUGGACAUUGAACCCAUGAGCACUGCCUCGCUACUUUUUAAUUUUUAUUCUAUUAAUUAUUUAAUUUAACUACUUUAUAUAUAUAUAUACUGACUGUAAUUCACAUUGUUUUUCUAUUAUUAUGUAUUGCAUUGUACUGCUGCCACAAAGACGACAGAUUUCAUCAGAUAUGCUGGUGAUAUUAAACCUGAUUCUGAUUCUAAGGUGUAUCUGUGAAAAUUGGACAGGGUCAAAGGGGACUUGCUGAAUUGCCUUAAUCUUCUCAGCAGGCUGAGGUGGUGGUGUGUUUGUGUCUCUCCUGUGCUCCUGUGAGUUCACUGGAAUAUUUAUUAAACUGUCGUGGACACACAAAGUCAAAGUCGGGUUUACUGUCAUCUGCACAAGUCCGUGUGUCCGCAGGUGCGAUGAAAAACUUACUUGCAGCAGCAUCGCAGGCUCACAGCAUCAGGUGCACAACAUUCGCACGAAAAACAUUAACUAAGCAUAAACUAUACACAGCAACACACAUCAAAGUUGCUGGUGAGCGCAGCAGGCCAGGCAGCAUCUCUAGGAAGAGGUACAGUCGACAUUUCGGGCCCAGACCCUUCCUCAGGAACACAAUUAGAUCGAAAACAAGGCUAUUGUGGUGCAAAGUGGUCUCAAUGUUUCCGUACGGAGGAAGUGAUUGGGGUCGUGUCGGUCAGUUGAAGAACCGAAUGGUUGAAGGGAGGUCGCUGUUCCUGAACCUGGUGGGGUGGGACUUCAGGCUUCUGUAACUCCUGCCCGAUGGGAGCUGUGAGAAGAUGGCCUGGCCCGGAUGGUGGGGAUCUGUGAUGAUGGACGUGGCCUUCUUGAGCCACCGUCUCCUGUAGACACGAGUGAUGGUGGGGAGGGAUGUGCCCGUGAUGUAUUGGGCCUAGUCCGUGACUCUCGGCAGCUUAUGUUCCUGGGCAUUCGAAUUCCCGGACCAGACCGUGACACGACCAGUCAGGAUAUUUUCAACAAGACAUCUGUAGAAGGUUGUCAGAGCGUUCGGUGACAAGUUGGCAUCCUGAUUUAUUUACUCCUCGGAGGCAGAGUCCCAGACGCUGAACCAUACGGAGCGACCCGCAGAGAGCUCCUCUCCCUGGGUUCCCAGCACAUGCCUCUCCCCAGGCCGGUGAACUGCCAGCGGGGCUCGUCUCUGAGUGUGCCCCUGGGCAGCAAAGCACAAGAGUCCCACAUGACACCACUCAGGCAGACAGCUUGAUCAUUCCACCGUGGAUGGUCCCAAGCCCGGCUGUGCUAGGAGGAGGAUUGGACAUGGGCCUAGCAACCCCAUCCUGUAAAAAUCAGGAGCUACCGAAACGCCAGCAGGAGCUCCAAACACCUCAUUCCUGGGAGAGGAAGGAUGCCCCAACAAGAUGGGCUAGUCCUGGGGACAACCUGAAGACCGGCCCAGGACAGAGGGCUCUGUCGAACUGCUGUCGGCAGCCCGGGUCCCAGUAAGCAAAGUAGGUGGUGCCAUGGGAGCAAACGUGAUGUGGAUAGAGAUCUUUGGGAGGGGUGGUGAGGAGGGAGCACUGCGAUGAGGGAGGGAGCGCGAUGUGGAUAGAGAUCUUUGGGAGGGGUGGUGAGGAGGGAGCACUGCGAUGAGGGAGGGAGCGCGAUGUGGAUAGAGAUCUUUGGGAGGGGUGGUGAGGAGGGAACACUGUGAUGUAGGAGGGGCAGUGAGGAGGGAACGCGAUGUGGGAAUGAUGAGGAUAGAGAUCUUUGGGAGGGGUGGUGAGGAGGGAGCACCGUGAUGUGGGAGGGGCAGUGAGGAGGGAGAACUGUGAUACGGGAGGGGCGAUGAGGAGGGAGCACUGCGAUGUAGGAGGGGCGGUGAGAAGGGAGAACUGCGAUACGGGAGGGGCGGUGAGGAGGGAGCACUGCGAUGUAGGAGGGGCGGUGAGGAGGGAGAACUGCAAUACGGGAGGGGCGGUGAGGAGGGAGAACUGCGAUGAGGGAGGGGCGGUGCAGAGGGAGAACUGCGAUGAGGGAGGGGCGGUGCGGAGGGAGAACUGCGAUGAGGGAGGGGAGAUGAGCAGGGAGCGCUGCACUGUGGAAUGGGCCUUGCCAAGCUAAAGCCUCACUCCCUCAGUUUCACUCCUCCACUCCGACAGGACCAGGAGUCAAGAGGCAGCUGCAUCGCAGCUCAGUCUCCUGGUUUCCGCUGUACUGGAAGGCCCAGUUCGGAGCCCCAGGACAGACUCCAGCCUGGGAAGAGGCGGUUCCUGGCAACGGCUUGCAAUGCUGAUUAAAGUUCUCACAUUCCGAUGGACUGUUGUUUGUCCUGGAAUAAAAGGACAUCCUGUUCUCACAGAAAGACA